rnacentral:rRNA from 1 species
AGAGUUUGAUCCUGGCUCAGAGCGAACGUUAGCGGCAGGCUUAACACAUGCAAGUCGAGCGAGAAAGGGGCUUCGGCUCCGAGUAAAGCGGCGGACGGGUGCGUAACACGUGGAUAAUCUGCCUCGUGGCGGGGGACAACAGUCCGAAAGGACUGCUAAUACCGCAUGUCAGGUCGGAAACUCCGGUUUCUGACGAAAAAGAGGGCGUCCGCAAGGAGCUCUCACCACGAGAUGAGUCCGCGUCCCAUCAGCUAGUUGGCGGUGUAAUGGACCACCAAGGCUUAGACGGGUAGCUGGUCUGAGAGGAUGACCAGCCACACUGGGACUGAGACACGGCCCAGACUCCUACGGGAGGCAGCAGUGGGGAAUAUUGGACAAUGGGCGAAAGCCUGAUCCAGCCAUGCCGCGUGAGUGAUGAAGGCCUC